GGCACACUUGUCCUUCGUUAAUUCUUCCACCCAGCAAAUCGCUCGCUCUCUCUCUCUCUCUCUCUCUCUCUCUCUCUCUUCUCUUAGGGUUUCCUUUCUCUCUCUCCAUCGCUCGCAUGGCCGGCGCCGGAAUCCACCCUUACCACCAGCAGUGGCCGCCUACAGGAGCUCCGCCUCCCCCGUCCGCAGUAUCAUCAGCUCCUCCACCACAUCCCCCUCCUGUACAUCAUCAUCACCCUCCUCCCCCUGGUUUAGCUGAUCGUUCUCCUUAUGACGAGCUCCGGACAAUCUUCAUCGCGGGUCUUCCCGAUGAUGUGAAAGAGAGAGAGCUUCUGAACCUCUUAAGAUGGUUGCCAGGCUACGAGGCAUCUCAGGUGAACUUCAAGGGAGAGAAGCCCAUGGGUUUUGCUCUCUUCUCCACUGCACAGUUUGCAUUGGCUGCCAGAGAUGCCCUUCAGCAUCUGGUGUUUGAUGCGGAGUCAAAGUCUGUGUUACAUGCAGAGAUGGCCAAGAAGAACCUCUUUGUUAAAAGAGGAAUCGUUGGGGAUUCAAAUGCUUAUGAUCAAAGUAAGCGUCUAAGAACUGGUGGUGACUGCACACACUCUGUUUAUAGUCCGUCUCCCUUCCACCCUCCACCACCUCAAGUUUGGGGUCCACCUCAUGGGUAUUUGUCACCCGCAGCUCCACCAUAUGAUCCCUAUGGAGGUUACCAUGCUCCCCCUGUACCAAUGCCUCCGUCUGCACCUAUAGCAGCUCCUAGUUCUUAUGUUCCUGUCCAGAAUGUUAAGGAUAACCCUCCUUGCAAUACCCUAUUUAUUGGUAAUCUCGGGGAGAAUAUACACGAAGAAGAAUUGAGGAGCCUGUUGAGCGCGCAGCCUGGUUUCAAGCAAAUGAAGGUUCUUAGACAGGAAAGGCACACAGUUUGCUUUAUUGAAUUCGAGGAUGUGAAUAGUGCCACAAACGUUCACCAUAAUUUGCAAGGCGCUGUCAUUCCAAGCUCUGGUUCAGUUGGCAUGAGGAUCCAAUUUUCCAAGAAUCCAUAUGGGAAAAGGAAGGAAGGUGGCGGCCAUUCUUUCUUUCCUUCACCGAGCGCUAAUGGAGCUCAAGGAGCCCUGACGUAUCAGUAGGCAGGCCUUGAAGGGGGGAUGUACUCUCUUCUCUAUCUUCCAACAACUGCACGAAUAGGAUGCAUCUUGCAGGCAGUCUGCAUUUGCAUCCAUUUCAUCAUCGACAUUUAUAAGCAUCAGCAUUUGCUUGUUGCCAUGUGAUGGAUGAAUAUAAUGUGUCAUCAUCAACAUAUAACAUGGGCAGCUCGUAUUAGCUUUGCUACAUGCAUCCUCAUGUGUGGUUUUAAAAGUCUGUAGGAGUUUGGGUUUGCCAUUUGGUUGUCUUGUUGCUUCUUUAACGCAUUUGCUUUGUGGGAUUCAUAUGACCAAUCCAUCCCAAUGAAACUCUCAUUUGAUAU